rnacentral:lncRNA from 1 species
CUACUCUUGGAAAGAACCCAUCCUCGAACUUGGAACCCAAUUCAUUUUCAACGCUUUAGCUAAUCCCACUUUGAUGACUUUCCUUACCCAUAGUACUUGGGCACAACACCUCUCCAUGAAAUGGUUUGGUUUAUGCGUGCUGCUCACACACCUGAUGGCUUUACCUCCACCUGACUUUAACGCCCAUCUUCCCAUAAAGAAGCCUGCACUCAGGUCCUUCUUUACGUUGUCGCAGCCUAAUGAUCCGCUUGGUGCUAGCCUAGUUCUUGCCUUGCAUAGCACUCUCUCCAACUGCAAGCUCUGCUUUCCCAUGCCGUAGGCUUCACUGCCC